GCCGCUGUGGCGGAAUUGGCAGACGCACUUGACUCAAAAUCAAGCGGUUAACAGCCGUGCCGGUUCGAAUCCGGCCAGCGGCA
rnacentral:tRNA from 1 species